UAUCAAGAAAGCUUGCUCCCUAGCAACUGGGGCUGCGUGGAAUGUGCUUCUGUGAGCACUCCAGAAUGCCUAGUCUCUCCGGAACCGUCCUGGAAAGCAGGUUGUUAGCGUCGGUUGUCAACACAACCUAGAUCCACUCGGGACGAGAGACUCAGUGAGUGACAAAACCGGGUACAAAUUGAGAGAGGGGCUGACGAUAAGAGCAGAGGACACUGAUGGCUGGAAGAUCACCUGACCAUCCUGGAAUCCUGAGCCAAACGCAAACCCGGAAAAGUUUGUUUGGAAGUAUGAAUUUUAAAAUGAGCCUUACAAAGAAGCAACCUGGUCUAAAACCUUAAUUAAGCCAACCUGUCUCUAUCCAUGCACCGCCUACAUGUCACACCACAGGCACUUUAAAGGGGAAGGAUUGAUGAGACGCGUGAAUCUGCCAUGUUGAAAAAUGCACAGGCACCAGAAGCUACGUCUGCAGUGCCUUCCCUUAUCAUUCUAGAUGGGCAGAAGCUACGUCUGCAGUGCCUUCCCUUACCAUUCUAGAUGGGCAGAAGCUACGUCUGCAGUGCCUUCCCUUACCAUUCUAGAAGGCAGAAGCUACGUCUGCAGUGCCUUCCCUUACCAUUCUAGAAGGGCCAUCAACUUUAUGUGUCGGGGCCUGUGUGUACUCCAGGGGUGGGCAGCUCUGCCCCAUGCAAGAAAUCGCAACGGACUUUAAAUUCUGAACAAGGACCAUGGGAACUAAAAUCCCUCUUAAAGGACUGCAGAAUUUGUCAGAGGGCCCCAUUUUUCUUGGAAUCGUCUUUAUGUCUGGAUGUCCAUGUGGAUGGGCAGUAACCCUGCCCCCCCCGAAGUCCUGCCUCACCUCCAUUGUGUCACCCACACUAUUGUAUAAAAUUCCUAUUAAAACUACCUUAUGUAUA